GCCACGAGCGUUGGGCUUGAGCAGAGCUGAAAGACGCGAUAGAGAGAGAGAACGAGAGAACGAGAGAGAGGUGAGAGAAACGAACUGACGAAGGGAGCGAAAGAGAGAGAGAAAGAAAGAAAGAGAGAGAGAAAGGCAGCGAUGCCUCGUCUUUUCCAGCUUGAUUAACUUCCUCUCCUCAAUCACCUCCUUCGUGAUACUCCGCAGAAAAGGAUAACAAAAAAACGGCAUAAAUAGAAUUUUAAAAAAUCACCACUGUUUUUGGAAGCGAUAAAAAGACGAGUGGGACUUUCUUUCGAAGUGUUUGACGGACUUUCUUUUAUAUAUAUAUAUAUAUACUUUUUCCUCCCAAUUUCCCUCGCUAUCGUGUUCGAGAAUGUGUUUCUUGGGUGUGAGAGAAACUUUCCCGAAAUACCCUGAUAUGAACUUAGAUUCGUAACCUUUCACCCCACGACCAAAUAAAUUGAAAAAAAAAAAAUAAUAAAAAAAAAAAACAUUCGGGUGAAUCCUUUUUUUGUAAUCAGUUCGGCAGACUUUCUUCGAUGUUCUAGAUGUACUAGAAAUCUACUACUAGUUGUUGUUGUUCUUGUUGUUCGUUCGUUAACGAUGUGAUCUACAAAUGCUACCGAUACAGAAGAAGAAGAUCUACUAGGAUGACGCUAGUUUUAGGAAUUCUCGAUGUUUAAUCCGUAGUCUACACAGCAACCAACUACAAAACCCUUUACCCCUCUUUUGAGCUGUUGCAUAAAUGGUUGUAGCGAUUUUUAUCAUGACAGACAUCGUUCUGAAAGUAAAAGGCGUUCUGCUAUUUACCUUCGUGCUGACAUUACCAGAGUGGACAUGUGGCUGGUCCAGGGAAGGUCGGUCGACACGUCGUCACCGAGCCCCACUCCGCC